UACAGAGGGGGCAAGCGUUGUUCGGAAUUACUGGGCGUAAAGGGUCUGUAGGUGGCCAUCUAAGUCAGACGUGAAAUCCCCCCGGCUUAACCUGGGAACUGCGUCUGAUACUGGACGGCUUGAGUAUGGGAGAGGGAUGUAGAAUUCCAGGUGUAGCGGUGAAAAUGCGUAGAUAUCUGGAGGGAUACCGGUGGCGAAGGCGGCAUCCUGGACCAUUACUGACGCUGAGGCGCGAAAGCUAGGGGAGCAAACGGG
rnacentral:rRNA from 1 species